rnacentral:rRNA from 1 species
UGUGGCCCCCCUUCGUGGUCGGUAUACAGGUGGUGCAUGGCUGUCGUCAGCUCGUGUCGUGAGAUGUUGGGUUAAGUCCCGGCAACGAGCGCAACCCCUAUCUUAUGUUGCCAGCACGUUAUGGUGGGGACUCGUAAGAGACUGCCGGGGUCAACUCGGAGGAAGGUGGGGACGACGUCAAGUCAUCAUGCCCCUUAUGUCCAGGGCUUCACACAUGCUACAAUGGCCAGUACAGAGGGCUGCGAGACCGUGAGGUGGAGCGAAUCCCUUAAAGCUGGUCUCAGUUCGGAUCGGGGUCUGCAACUCGACCCCGUGAAGUCGGAGUCGCUAGUAAUCGCAGAUCAGCAACGCUGCGGUGAAUACGUUCCCGGGCCUU